rnacentral:lncRNA from 1 species
AAAUCCUCCGAGGCCUUGGUAUGGAGCCAGAGGAGGAAGUUUGACAUGGCCUCUGGUUACCAGCUCCACCUCUGAACCCACUGGCCCAGGAUGACUUAUGUGAUCUGGGAACCUGAUCCUUUUGUCUUGUGGCUCUACCAUCUUCAACAUUUGGCUUCUGAAGUCACCCUGAAUGUGCGCACACAAGGAUGGAAAACAGCACAGAGAAAGGCAGAAGGU